AAACAUAUUACAUCACUUUCCCUUCAUGAAUCCUUCUCUCAUUUGUCUAUGUCUGUUAUUUUCCUUCAGAGCUUUACUGGACAAUGAAAGUCUGAUGGGGGAUUUCUCUUCAACAAAUCAGCUAAGGAGUACCUACACAUCUGAUGGAGUGCCCAGCUCUCGAGGGGUUAAGCAAAGCUUCCAGACACAGCUGGCUACCAGUCACAUGAUCAGUCCCAUCUCUACCAUCCAUAGAGCAAGCCCACGAUCCAAUGUAACAAUGAUGUCCGCAUCACCAAUAUGGACUCAAAACCGGGUAACCCUGAACGAAACACCUGAGAGUUGUCGAAAGACAGAGGAAGAGCAUGUUGACUUUGACUUAGGGUCCAACCGGCAGGUAAGUUGGUCAACGCCUUACCCCAGAGUACCACAGAAUGGAAUUUCAGUCGACCACUUCAGACCCCAGGAUGUCCAUGAAGAAGUCAACUAUGCUGAGCCUCUCUCACCUCCCACUGAAGAGGCAGGAGCUGAUGUUGUAUCUUGGCUUGGAUCUGACCAUAAGGAACAAUCCAUGUGGGAUUUAGAAAAGGAGGAAGAGGAUCAGAACAUAGUCAGAACCUGGGUUGCUGAAGACAAACAGGUUCUGGAAUCUGCCAUGAGUCACCAGGUUGAGACCAGCUUCAGUAUGCCAACUGUGUUCAGCACUGAUGCUCAAGAGCUCUACAGCCCUUCAGUGAGCUAUGAGAGAGCAGGUUCAGUGACAGGGGCACAUUCUGCUUUCUCAGCGAAUGAUGAUAAUGAUGUACCUUUUGAAAUGUCUUCUGAAAAAGAGGAACCUCUACUAGAUCUGCCUUACGGUCCCAUGAAUGCAUCGGAGGAAAGAGAUCUUGAAACAGCAAGGAAAGAUGCUGAAUGGGUGGGAAAUGAAGGCUUGGAGUCUGAAACUAAAUCAGUGCUAGAACAUGCAUUUGAGACCUUCACAAGCAGUCAAGCUUUCGAGUAUGGAGCGGGGAAAAGUUACAACAAGCCAAUAGAGUUCAACCAAGAGGACAAUACGUCAUAUGCAUCUAUUCAAGCCUCCCACGGUCCAGAAGAUGCAUUUCACCAUGUUAAAAGAGUGGAGGAAGAUGUCAUUAAUCUCACAAAAGAGGAUGAUGAAAAUGAUAUGUCUAACAAAGAUGACGAGCAAUUGGAAGAUGAAUUGCGCCCCUAUGGGUAUGGUAAGGAUGAUUGUGAAAGAUUGGCAGGGUUCAAAAUGGAAAAUUGUGUGACAGAAAGAAUCGAUAAGUUCAACCGAGAGGCGAUUAUCUCAUAUGAAUCUGCUCAAGCUUCUCACUGGUCAGAAGAGGUAUUUCACCAUGUUGAAAGACUGGAGGAAGGUGAUAUACAUUUCACAAAAGGGGAUGAUGAACAUGAUAUGUCUAAUAAAUGUGAGGAACAAUAUGCAUUGCACCCCAAUGGGGAUGUAAAUGAUGAAUGGGAUAGAGUGGGAGGAUACAAUGAAGAGAAUGGAAUUAGAGAAAGAAUGGAUGAUUGGAAAGAAGGAAAGGAUCAUAUGAAAGAGGAAGAGAUGUGGAAUAACAGAGAAACCCAACCCAAUCGGUCUGAUCAAGAGCAUAUACCUUCAAAUGUAGAGAAACUGAAUCAAUUCGAGCAAGAGCAUAUACCUUUAGGCAGAGAGAAACUGAAUAUAUCCGACAAUGACAAAGAGGAUCAGGAUGAGGAAAACUACUGUCAAAAUACUUCUGUUUCAUGGAGGGCUGAGCUAGAAGGUGACAGCUACGCUCAGGACAACACACUGGCCGACACACACCCCCUGAUCCGUUACAAGAGUGACGAGACGGAUGCCAACACUCAGGCUUCACACAUGGGCGAAAGUGACUCCAGUGAUGGUGAAGAGGACAGGGAGGUUUGCCAGACAGGAACAGGCACCUGGGGCGAAGGCAAGUCCAAACAGUUUGACACCAUGGAGGAUCUGUAUGAAGAGUCAGAAGGGGAUGUCAUAGAUCAGGAAAGUAACAUGGGCUCCACUCACCAAGAGGACAUGGAUGCUAGCCAAACAAAGGAGCAUGCUACACAGGAGAAUGAUGACGAGAAUGCUGUAGAUCAGUUGAUUCAGAAGACAGAAGAGGAGCAAUCCUAUGAGGAACUUACAGAACCUGGAGAGUACUCCAUGAUGUGCUCUGAUGAGGACUAUAAUGAAGAAAGAAUUGAUAGAUUGGUGGAGCAAGAGUUAGAGAAUUUAUCUAUAUCCAGUUACAGUGAACACUUUAAUGGGCAGAUGAUUGAGAGCGAGUCAGUACUGAGUCUUCAAAUUGAGUCUCACACUGAACUUUCCCAGACACAAGACAUAUUAUACAGUGAGGAGGUAGAUCAGAUACACUCAGUGAGACUGAAUCAAUCUGAGCAAGAGCAUACGACGUCAGGCGGCGAGAAACUGAAUCAACCCAAGCAAGAUUAUAUAAAUUCAGGCAGAGAGAAACUAAAUCAAUCUGAACAAGAGUAUAUACCCUCAGACGGAGAGAAACUGAAUCAAUCCGAGCCAGAGUAUAUAACUUCAGGAGGAGAGAAAAUGUAUCAAUCCGAGCAAGACCAUAUACCCUCAGACGAAGAGAAACUGAAUCAAUCCAAGCAAGAGAAUAUACCUUUAAGCGGAGAGAAACUGAAUCAAUCUGAACAAGAGUAUUUACCCUCAGAUGGAGAGAAAAUGAAUCAAUCCGAGCCAGAGUACACAACUUCAGGUGGAGAGAAACCGAAUCUGUAUGCGCAAGAACAUAUACCUUCAGACGGAGAGAAAAUGAAUCAAUCCGAGCCAGAGUAUAUACCCUCAGGCAGAGAGAAACUGAAUCAAUCUGAGCAAGUGCAUAUACCUUCAAACGGAAAGAUACUGAAUCCGUCUGAACAAGAGUAUAUACCCUCAGGCGGAGAGAAACUGAAUCUAUAUGAGCAAGAACAUAUACCCUCAGACGGAGAGAAACUGAAUCUAUAUGAGCAAGAUAAUAUACCUUUAAGUGGAGAAAAACUAAAUAAAUCUGAACAAGAGUAUAUACCCUCAGACGGAGAGAAACUGAAUCAAUCCGAGCCAGAGUAUAUAACUUCAGGCGGAGAGAAUUUAAAUCAAUCUGAGCAAGAGCAUAUACCUUCAAACGGAGAGAAACUGAAUCAAUCCCAGCAAGAGCAUAUACCUUUAGGCAGAGAGAAACUGAAUCAAUCUGAGCCAGAGUAUAUACCCUCAGGCAGAGAGAACAUGAAUCAAUCUGAGCAAGAACAUAUACCCUCAGAUGGAGAGAAACUGAAUCACACUGAGCAAGAGAAUAUACCCUUAGGUGGAGAGAAACUCAAUCAAUCCGAGCAAGAGAAUAUACCUUUAGGUGGAGAGAAACUGAAUCAAUCUGAACAAGAGUAUAUAACUUCAGGCGGAGAGAAACCGAAUUUAUAUGCACAAGAAAAUAUACCCUCAGACGGAGAGGAAAUGAAUCAAUCCGAGCAAGAGAAUAUACCUUCAGACAGAGAGAAACUGAAUCAAUCUGAAGAUCAGUACAUUCCUUCAGGUGGAGAGAAACUGAAUCAGUAUGAGCAAGAGCAUAUACCUUUAGGUGGAGAGAAACUGAAUCAGUCUGAGCAAGAACAUAUACCCUCAGACAACGAGAAAAUGAAUCAAUCUGAGCCAGAGUAUAUACCCUCAGGUGAAGAGAAACUGAAUCAAUCUGAGCAAGACCAUAUACCCUCAGACGACGAGAAAAUGAAUCCAUCUGAUCCAGAGUAUAUACCUUCAGGUGGAGAGGAACUGAAUCAAUCUGAGCCAGAGCAUAUACCCUCAGGUGGAGAGAAACUGAAUCAAUCUGAGCCAGAGUGGAUUUCCUCAGAGGUUAUGUAUUCAAUGCACUCUAGGAUCCGAACGACACCUGAACACACAUCUCUUAGAGAAAGUUCAGUAGAAAUAUCCAAAGCAGAAUAUUUGGCUCAAGGUAAAGUCUUCAGUGGGGAACUGAGAACUGAAGCUGUACCAGACCAACUAGAAGGAGAGGAUGACCAGAACCUUUCUAUGCUGACUCAUGCAGACUUUACUGAAAGCCAUUCUAUCCACAGCAGUUUAAACAGCAGGCCUGAGAGUCAAACCAACAUGAACAACUCGGAUAUAGAAGAGUCCAACAGCACAGAUGACGAGUCUCCAAAUGCAAGCCAGUAUUUGCAACCUGUCAACGACGCAAAUCUAACUGCAGAUUUGUUAGAUGUGGCGGUCUCUCACUAUGAGGAUUGCAAUGCUCUUAUAGAACAUUCUGCAGAGGUCACUAGCUAUCAGGCAAGUCAUGAAUGUCUUCAGACAGACAAAUGGGAAGUCUUCGAAAGUCCAAACAAACACCUGGAAUCUGGAGAUCCUUUUACAGGUCACAAGAGAGACUCAGAGAGAUCAUCCAAAACUGACAGCAAAGGCCGGGACCUCCACAGCUUCCUCAGCUCUGGUGUACACAGCAACUUCUGGGGUUCCAAUCUGGAGACAGGAGCCCCCUAUCAACCGGAUGAGCCAUAUGACCAUGUGACCGAGCUACCCAACCAGAACCUAGCCUUGGCUGAUAACCUAUCCUGGGUGGAUUUGGAAUCCACAGGCGGCCAAUUGGAACACAAAGAUGGACAGUGACACACCUAAAGCUUCCACCCUUGAAGAAGAGGACAAACAGAUGCCCUCACAGGUGAAGCAGCUGGUGGCGAUGUGGUAGGGGGUGUGAAUGUUACUUCUGAAGGUUCUGAAGAUGAGGAAGACUCCUGGUCAUCUGGGGAAGAAUAGGAACAAUUUCAGCAUGGUUUCUAUAAGGAGUAAAGUAGAAGUAACAAGUGUUAUUGAGAGUGUAAUAAUAUUUACACUUUACAGGCUUUGAAUUUGAGCAUUGAUUCACAUUGAUCCUUACAGUGAAAAGUAAAUGAAAUGAAUGUACUAUGUCACAGAAUGUCAUGACAAUUCAGUGCUCUCUGGGAUCCUUGGGAUGUUCCAACCCUAAACCCUAACCUCUACCCUUACCUUAACCCUAACUAUAACUAUAACCAGAACCCUUACCUACACCAUUUAAAAUGUCAACUUCAAUGGGGUAGGGACGUCCCAAGGAUGCGAGAUUGCAUGGACCGUCAAAUAUUUAUGCUGCUUUCAAAAACCAAAGUUGUGCCAUGGUGCACACCCUGCUGACACUAACCACCAGUGUACCUACUCCAUUUCAAGACAUUGAGGGCCAUUUUUGUACGUUUUACAAAUUUGUUUGAUUAGCCAUUUUUCUAUAGAUUUUUUAUUAGCCCAUCCACAAACACUACAAGCAGCAGUGCAUGGUUUGAAAUCCUAGAAGAAAAGCUUGCCUUCAUUUUAAUAAAGCAUUUCACAAUACAGUGUCACAAAUAUAACUAACAGACAAUAAAACAACAUGGUGCCAUAUUAGCUAUGCUUUGUUUACGAUUACGGCAAAAAACACGUUGUUUUUUUGGCUAGUGUUCUCUGUAGAAAUGCGCAAAAAACGUACAAGGAAAAAUAAAACUAAUUGACA
rnacentral:lncRNA from 1 species